rnacentral:lncRNA from 1 species
GGGAUGUCUGCUCAUGGACUUUGUUGAUGUGGUCCCUAAAUUGUUCCCUGUUCUUGCCUUGACCCUGCUUGGUGCCGACUGGGCUGUGUCUGACCCUGCCCUGCAUUCCCAGGCUGUGCUGUGGAUUCAGCUGGAGCUGGCUGCCACCUCCCCUGCUCUGCUCACUGCUCUCAGGAUUGCCUCCUGGAUUGGUCAGACCCUGGCUUCUUGAUCCCACUCAAGCAGGAAUGAAAACCAGCCCUGAAAUGCUUUAGGAGGGAUGGCAGGAUCCAGUGGUGGGAUAUCAGUGUCUGAAGUAUGGCAUCUCCUCUCCAUUUUUGGGAGCUGCUGCCUCACGCUGGAUCUGCCUCCCAUAAAUGCACCAACAUCCUGCCCUGAAGGAGAGAAGUUCCAGACCCUGCCAAGUAUCAACAUCAAGAACGUGUCCCACGGAGACAAGGCCACACAGCAGCUUCCAUGUGUCAGCAUUCCCACUGAGUCCUUCCAACAGGCAGCCCAAAUUCACUGCUCACACACACAGUUACGGAGCCACCCUCCCAGAUGGCCAAAGGCUGCAGUGUGGAGGAUCACAGCCCCCUGGAAGUCUCCGUUGUGAAUCACAACAGGCACAGCCACAGGGUGCUGUGCCCCUCUGCCUGCCCUUGACAGAAAGAGCCCAAUUCAAUGCUAACCCUUAAGCAAACAGUGCCCUGACCUCCCAGUCAGCAGAGCAGCCCUUCUUGCUUAUUUUAUCCUGGUAUUUGAACUGCAGCACAUUCCAGUUGGGUAAAAAGGCUUCGCUGUCUGGAGCAUGCCGGAGUCAGGUGGUGAGCAUACCAAGAGCCAGACAGGAUACUGUGCUUCCUGUGGGAGUAAACACUGAAAGUCAUGCAAAGCAUCCUUCAUUCUGGCUGGGCCUCAGCAGCCAGCACAGCCGCUGGAAAGGAAGGGACUUCACAGACAGAGAGAUUAUUCUCUUCUGCCUUAGAGGCUACCUGGACUUUUAAUUAUAUAAAGUUUUGUAAACAUACAAACCUUGUAUGUUUAAAGGCUGCUCACUUUGUUGGCAGAAUGUACACCCAAAUUUCUCCCCUGCCCUACAUCUGCUGGGAGCUUGCAGCCUCACUCAGGGAUCUGCUGUGGAUGCUCUGCACCUCCUAAGUUUAUAUCUAAGACAACACCAUGGGAUAACUGAAGAAGCUCUUGGACUUAUCCCAAGUCUGCUCCAACGUAAACUAAGAGAGAAAUGCACUGCUAAUUAACAGUUCAGAUUUGCCCUAAGUAAUUGCACCUCUGGACUGUCUCUCUUAAGGGCACAGAGAAUUGUUACUGCCAGGAGAGGGACACUGGGUUUGUCCUGCUUUUAAAGAAGUUCAGAAGUCAUAAAGAGAAUGUCUAAAAGUUUCAUCAAGCUUCAUAAAGAGUAGAGGCAGAGUUCUUUGGCAGAAACUCCCAUAUCUAUUAAGUCCUCUUCAGCAUUCACAUGAAAAGCUAAAUUCCUCCCCAAAACUUCAUGGAAACCAUUUGUUAGGCGUUCAAGACACCUUCCCAUGUGGUGUGGUUGUUGACAUCUGAGCAGAUUGGAGCAGAUGUUGAUGGCAUCCUCACUGUUGCAUUUUAGAAGCUGCACCAGUCACAGACUCAAGGCCAGCCUGAAUUCUGGACUCUCACAGUGAGGAUGAGCACAGGAAAGCCAUUGGGAUCACAGUAGCCAGCAGGUUCUGCAACAGAUGGUAAUAACCUUUCAUCAUAAUGUUCAGGUGUUGUAUUUUAUGCUAUUUUGGAGCCUCCCACUGGAGUGGGCUGGAAGGAAAUCAAGCCCUGUCUAGGCAUGUUUGAGCUGUGUUUCAAGAAAUCCUUUAAUUUCCAUAAACAAGUGCAGUCAGAAAUCUGGCCCUUGACUCUUGUCUGUCUUUAUUCCCCAUCUGUAAAUAGAAAUAGCAGCAUAAUCUGGCUUGCAGGGAUAUCUGAGGAUAGAAAUAGCCCCACCAUGCAGGAGCAGCUCAGUUAAAACAAGUCACAAGAGUCCAUGAAUCCCAGUAACCACAGCCAAGUCCCAAAAGGAUUUUUCAUCACCUUGUGGAAGAAACAUUUCAGUUUUCCGACAAUCAAUAAAAAUGAGAUUCUAUU